rnacentral:tRNA from 8 species
CGGAUGUAGCCAAGUGGAUCAAGGCAGUGGAU